rnacentral:rRNA from 1 species
UACGUAGGGGGCUAGCGUUGUCCGGAAUCAUUGGGCGUAAAGAGCGUGUAGGCGGCCCGGUAAGUCCGCUGUGAAAGUCGGGGGCUCAACCCUCGAAUGCCGGUGGAUACUGUCGGGCUAGAGUGCGGAAGAGGCGAGUGGAAUUCCUGGUGUAGCGGUGAAAUGCGCAGAUAUCAGGAGGAACACCGAUUGCGAAGGCAGCUCGCUGGGACGUCACUGACGCUGAGACGCGAAAGCGUGGGGAGCAAACAGGG